GACGAACGCUGGCGGCGUGCCUAAUACAUGCAAGUCGAGCGAUGAAGGAGAUACUUGUAUCUUUUGAAGAGCGGCGAACGGGUGAGUAACGCGUGGGGAAUCUGCCAAUGAGUGGGGGACAACAUUUGGAAACGAAUGCUAAUACCGCAUAAAAUCUAUUGAGACAUCUCAAGAGAUUGAAAGGAACAAUUGUUUCGCUCGUUGAUGAUCCCGCGUUGUAUUAGCUAGUUGGUGAGGUAACGGCUCACCAAGGCGAUGAUACAUAGCCGACCUGAGAGGGUGAUUCACGCCACACGUGGCACGUAGGAA
rnacentral:rRNA from 1 species